UAGAAAAGAAAAAGAAAGAAAAAAAAAGAAAAAAAAAAGAGAAAAAGAAAGAAAUUUUGAUGAAAGUUGAUUGAGAAAGUCGAGUGAUAAUUGAAAAAUUCAUGGAUAGUCGACUUUGUUGUUAUGAGAAAAACGAGAGCAUAAAAGAAUGUCUAGUUUGAUUUAUGAUGAUUAUAUCCCUUGGUUUGUGAUGAUUAUGGAGAUGUUGUUAGGU
rnacentral:lncRNA from 1 species